rnacentral:rRNA from 1 species
UGGCGAACGGGUGAGUAACGCGUAGGCAACCUGCCCUUUAGACGGGGACAACAUUCCGAAAGGAGUGCUAAUACCGGAUGAGAUCAUUCUCUCGCAUGGGAGAGUGAAGAAAGAUGGCCUCUACAUGUAAGCUAUCGCUAAAGGAUGGGCCUGCGUCUGAUUAGCUAGUUGGUAGUGUAACGGACUACCAAGGCGAUGAUCAGUAGCCGGUCUGAGAGGAUGAACGGCCACAUUGGGACUGAGACACGGCCCAAACUCCUACGGGAGGCAGCAGUGGGGAAUCUUCCGCAAUGGACGAAAGUCUGACGGAGCAACGCCGCGUGAGUGAUGAAGGAUUUCGGUCUGUAAAACUCUGUUGUUUAUGACGAACGUGCAGUGUGUGAACAAUGCAUUGCAAUGACGGUAGUAAACGAGGAAGCCACGGCUAACUACGUGCCAGCAGCCGCGGUAAUACGUAGGUGGCGAGCGUUGUCCGGAAUUAUUGGGCGUA